UUCGCAAUGCCCGAAAGGGUGACGAAGCGACGCCGCGUGCGGGAAGAAGGCCUUCGGGUUGUAAACCGCUGUCGGGAGUUAGGAAAUGCAAGGAUGUUAAUAGCAUUCUUGCUUGACUAAGGCUCCGGAGGAAGCCACGGCUAACUCUGUGCCAGCAGCCGCGGUAAUACAGAGGCGGCAAGCGUUGUUCGGAAUUAUUGGGCGUAAAGAGCACGUAGGCGGCUGUGUAAGUCGGUUGUGAAAGCCUUCCGCUUAACGGAAGAACGGCAUCCGAUACUGCAUAGCUUGAGUGCGGGAGGGGAGAGUGGAACUUCUGGUGGAGCGGUGAAAUGCGUAGAUAUCAGAAGGAACGCCGGCGGCGAAAGCGGCUCUCUGGCCCGUAACUGACGCUGAGUGUGCGAAAGCUAGGGGAGCAAACGGGAUUAGAUACCCCGGUAGUCCUAGCCGUAAACGAUGGGCACUAAGUAGAGGGGUUUUA
rnacentral:rRNA from 1 species